GACAGAGGGUGCAAACGUUGUUCGGAAUUACUGGGCGUAAAGCGAGUGUAGGCGGUCCUCUAAGUCGGGUGUGAAAGCCCCGGGCUCAACCCGGGAAGUGCACUCGAAACUGGAGGGCUAGAGUAUCGGAGAGGUUGGUGGAAUUCUCGGUGUAGAGGUGAAAUUCGUAGAUAUCGAGAGGAACACCGGUGGCGAAGGCGGCCAACUGGACGAAUACUGACGCUGAGACUCGAAAGCGUGGGGAGCAAACAGG
rnacentral:rRNA from 1 species